rnacentral:lncRNA from 1 species
UAUUCAUGUGUUAUUUUUCGUAAUUCGAGUAAGCUGAAACUGAUGGUCUCAGAUGGUUUGUGUAUUAACUUGCAUCUACAAAUACUGAGUAGAGGGUUGCCUUUUGUGCAGGAAUUUGCAGCAGGUCUGAUCCCUUGCCUUAGCUCUCUGCUUCUCCUCACUCCUUAGACCUCCCCUUUGCUUGUCACCAUGCAUUUUAUUCAGAGCAGUGUCCAGAUGCAUCUCCUCUGCCUAGAUGAUGGGGAGAGGGCCUAAGCUAUAGGUGAGCUCCUCCGCUGAGCAAGUGUUGUAUAUUGCACGAUGUUUUCAUUUUAAAUGUCUGCAAUCUAAUGCCUUCCUUUGCUAUUUCAAUUUUUAAUCUCAACAUUUCCAAUUUGAUCAGUUGGAGAUUACUUGAAUGAUUCAGUUUUGGGGGAAUGGUAUAGUCGAGAAUGUAUGGUCUUUAUUGUGUAACUAAAAUAUGUGCAGUUUCCUAAUAUAAAAACAUGCAUGUUUACAUAUUUGCCUUUCUUUUAGCAUUGCUGAAUGCAUGAAAAACAUUCACAUGGCCACACAUGGCCCAAACUUAAAAAACUAGGAGUUGGGUUUUCAUCUCUCUUAGAGUUGUUACUGUUCAUCCUGUUGUCGUUUCUUCUGAAGUUUAGAAAAUUCUUUUUCCUCAAUAGUUCACUCAUUUUACUAUUGUCAGCAUAAUCCAUGGAUUUGCAUUGCAAGAAAUUACUAAAGAUCUGUAUUUUUGGCGAUUCCUAUGUAUUUCUGGGUGUGCAUCAUUACAAGGAAGACAAGCUUUCAGUGUCUAUCUGUAUGUGUCAGGAAAGGUGAAUCUUAGAGAUUUAUGUUGUAGACUGGUGGCAUGGUGCUUCAACCAGAGUUCAAGGGUAAAACACAUGCAACUCCCCUGCAUGAUUCGAUUUCUUUUUCUAUUGUUAGAGUAUUGCUACAUGUUUAGUAUUCAGCUAAAAGUUUUGUUUUGGAGCUUGGAUUCAAUGCCUCAAACUAUUUCCAAGAUAAGGAUUUGACACAGUUUUACAUGUAGACACAAAGUUAAUGUUUAACUGAAAGUGUCUUUAUUUUUUAAAGGGUUCAAAGUAUUGUUCAGACUACUAAGCCUUCACAUUUUACUGAUCUUUACACUGAAAAGUUGAGUGUUUGAUUUCUGUAUAUUAUAUGCUGUGCAUUUUUUGUAACUUGUAUACUCUGUUCCAGCAACUCAUCAGUGUCAUUCUAAAAGAUGGUACAUGGAUCCUAGACUUCGGUUGUUAGUGAGUUCUAACAUUUCUAUAAGAAUCCAUUUUUGUGAUAUGAUAGGUGUUGUCCUGACUUUGGUUUAGAUUCCAAUAAGGUUAUCUUCUUAACAAAACUGUUGCAUAAUAACUCCAUGUGUAAAGAAAUAUAAGAUCUUUUAGAUCACUACUUUAGUAAUCUAAAAGAUAUUAUGUUUCUUUACAGAGGGAGUACAAUCUUUUGUGAGAUUAUUGGCUUUAUUUUUUAGAUCUCUUAGUAGAGAAGAAAUGCCUCCUUAUAUGCUUUAUAUUUCAGUUCUUAUAGUGCAGAAAAAAGAUCUGCAUAGUUUUAACUGGAGAGGCCGUGCAAUCAAGUAUUUGUUUACUUUCCUUUUAACCAAGCCAAUAUGUGUACAUCUACUGUUUCUUAGACCUUUGGACUCAAAGACAACUCACAAAUUUGAAAAAUUCUACUAUUUCUAAGAUGGCUGAAACAUAUUAUUAGUUCUUUUGCAGGGACAUGGUAGAAAGUAGAAAAUCCACAAGUUGAUGGAAGAUGUUCUCGCGAUCGCUUUUGUUCAGAACAUGGUUGACACAUUUUGUCAUAUGGAAGUUGGUGUUGGCUUGGCUGCUUUGUACCUAGGAUAUUAGCAAAAAGAAGGGCACAAACGUAUAUAUGGUAUGCGAGUGGGAAUUUCUCCUCUAAUUUUCUAUUGAGGCCAACCACCUACACUUGUUUAAUUUACCU